rnacentral:rRNA from 1 species
AUGGCACGCCUACUGGUAGCGAUUACCAUAUUGUUCAUUCAGCAGCUGGUGUUCGCAGUUAUACUGUGCCCUUUAGCAGCGCUUUACUUGUGUGGGUUGGUGAUCACCGGCGGGAUAUCUCUGUGGCGCCUGAUACGGCGCGAUUACGGCGAGGUGGAUGGACGUGCAAACCUGCAGCCUGCUCUGAAUGUCUUUUACUCACUGGCUCUGUUCCAGGGUGUGCUCUUCUGCUACAGGUUCUUCUCAUAUUCUGCAGGAGAUGGGCUAGUCAGUAAAGUGGUCGAAGAAUACAAGCUGGACAAAGAAGGAUCCGUUCGGAAAUCGGUGAAGGAGUACCUGUGUCAGACCAGAAAUGGGUGCGCCAAGGACCCAUCAUUUGUAAAGGAAAGGAACCUGGUCACGUACGCUGUGGAUUUGAUGAAGUCUGAAUCAUCUGGCAGCUACCUCUCCGGGGUAAGGAUUUUGGACGCACUCUUGGCACAGUCAGCUCUCAAGGAGCAGCACUCGAUGAUUGCACAGCUCAUUGGGUCGGCAUCCUGCAGCCAGAUAGUUGAGAAACUGCUGCAGGCGCUCGAUUCAAGAAGCCGACAAGACAAGGAGAUCAUGGAGCUCGCUGCCAGGAUAGUGGUGAAGCUUGCUGGAGAGAUCCAUUUGAAGCGGUUUCCACAAGGCAUACUGUGUAUAUCUUCACUGCUCGAAACCUCUCAGCGACAGCCUGACGAUGACAGUGCCCCUUCCGGUGAAUUCAAGUCGCUCAUGAAGCAAGGCCUUGUUAUCCUUGACAGCCUCGCUGCUGACAAACAUAACUGCUGUCUCAUAUGCGAAGACCAGAGCCUUCUCUUCAAGGUCAUGGCCCCCAUAAGCUCUGAUAUGCUCCACCUCAUUGAUCAUGACGAACGGAUGCUCUUUAAGGCUGACCACAACACAUACAGAAUAACUGCAGCUGAAACCCUGAAACAUCUUUGUAUGCAUUACAAAGAGAAUGAAGAUUGUUUCAAGGAACUCAUGAAAGCCAUGAAAGAUGUCACGCCAAAGGUUCUCAUUCAAAUACUUCCUCAUGGAUCAACAAGGAAGGAAGUACAAGCAAGAAAUGAAACAGAUAAAGACAAGUAUCAGCCACCAGGAGCUGACUUAGAAGAUGGCCAUGAGAGUUGUGUUUCAUCACAAGACAAUGGUCCGGACGAAAUCAUUUCCUCUCUUCAGGAAAAGGAUGAGGAAUCUGUGGACAGGAAAUUGCACGCAGCUUUAUUAUCUCUUUGUGCGGCAAUAUUUGAUAGAUUGAUCAGUGACAAAGGUCAUGAUUUAACUCCGCUGGUUAAGGCAAUUGUCUCAGAAGAUGCCGCAUUUAGCUUUGUUGGGAAGCUCAGGGAGAUGGUUGAAAUAAACCGUGAGCCCACAGCCAAUUGCCUGAUGAUAAUGAAGAUUAUCAGCAAGAUGGUAAUAUCAAUGAUGCAGCAUGGAGGCUGGUACGUCAAAAAAAAUCUGGACAGGACAGGUUUGACAGCUUGA